AUGGAGCAAUUGGAGAAGAGGGUGGAUGCUGCUGAACAACAAAUCAAAGAGCUGCGUGAAGAUCUAAAUAGGAGAUUUGACCAGCUGGUUGAGAUGAUAAGAAAGGCUGUCCCCCCUGCUACCAAUGAAGGAGAUUCAUCUAAAGAAGAGGAAGAUGUUCAUCAAGGAAGAUGGAGAGGUAAUCUUGGAGCAAGAUCGUCACGACAACAUGUUGUUCAACGUGCUUCAAGAAGGCCAAUUUAUGUUGAGGCUUCUGAAGGUGAAGAAUAUGAUGAUGCCCUUGAAGAACCAAAUCUCUACGCAUAUCGGAGAGCACCCAACCCUACAUAUGCAAGAGAUACAUACAAGGUGAAAGCUGAGAUCCCACGUUUUAAUGGAAAUGUUGACAUUGAAGGGUGCCUGGAUUGGUUAUAUGAAGUGGAGACUUUCUUUGAGGUCAUGGAGGUUCCGGAAGAUCGUAGAGUUCCUUUGGUCGCAAACAAGCUGAAAGGAGGAGCCGGUGCAUGGUGGCAUCGCGUUCAAGAGGAGCGCAGGCUGAGAGGAGAACCUCGUGUUAGAACUUGGCGACAAAUGAAAGGCCUCUUGAAAGGGAGAUUUUUGCCCGCUGAUUAUGACCAGAUCCUAUUUAUCCAAUUUCAAAAUUGUGCUCAAGGAAAUAGGACUGUUUCAGAUUACACGAAGGAGUUUCUAAGGCUACAAGUGAGGUGCAACCUUUGCUGA
rnacentral:rRNA from 1 species